AGUCCCGUAGUCUAGUGGUCAAGGAUAGCGGGCUCUGAACCCGUUGACACCAGUUCGAAUCUGGUCGGGACUA
rnacentral:tRNA from 1 species